GACGAACGCUUGCGACGUGCCUAAGAAAUGCAAGUCGAACGAGGUAGCAAUACCUAGUGGCGAACGGUCGCGUAACACGUGGGCAACCUGCCCUAAAGUGGGGGACAACACGCCGAAAGGUGUGCUAAUACCGCAUGUGGACUAGCAUGGCAUCAUGCAAAGUCCAAAGGAUUUAUUCGCUUUAGGAUGGGCCCGCGGCCUAUCAGCUAGUUGGUGAGGUAACGGCUCACCAAGGCUUCGACGGGUAGCUGGUCUGAGAGGACGAUCAGC
rnacentral:rRNA from 1 species